rnacentral:lncRNA from 1 species
CCCUGUUUUAUAACAUGUCAAAAUUUACUUUUAAAUGUAGAAGAAAAUAGCUGAAACAUAUCAUGGCAACUUCAGUGUAAACAUCAUGGCAAUUCAUGUGCAAUAGACACGGCAACUUUUAACAAAAAAAAUUGUCGAAAUAUAUUGAUAUGAGAUCUAGUUUCGAAGAUCUUGUCGCGAGGGAUUUAAUGGUGAAAACGGAUCUUCAAUCGGAUUUUUCAUUUAAGAGAUAAAACAUUUUAAAGACAGAAAAUCCAAAAAGAUUUCCACAUGCAUGCAUGCGGUGACAUGGCGUAGUCUGUGUGCUAUAGGGCGUGUGGGCGGGUUUGGCUCCCACCACACGUGUGGGCGUUUUUCUUUGAGACCGACGAUCCCGUUUCUAUCUCGAUUGAGGCAUGGAGCAGUUUUUUUUUCCUUUUUUUGUGAGGAAUGUCAAUUGAGCAGAAGAGCAAGACCUCCUAUACGCCGCAUUAUGCGGCAGGAAGUCGGGGCUUCGCAUACGCAGUACAACUCUGACUAGGCCGGCCCACGCAUGAGCUGCGAGCAGUGUAAAAAAAAGUAAGAAAAAAGCAGAGCGUCACACAGGAUUCGCUGUGCUGCAAAGACAGGUAGCUAGCCAUUGCUGCUUACUACUCCUAGUGGUACAAAGGCAACGCAAAUGCUAUAACACUAGAUAAAUCGCAUAAUCGGGUUAUUUCCAUUUUUUAGUCAUUUCUUGAAAAUACUAAAUAAACAUUUUUUAAAUGACGAACGUUUUCGCCAAGCACGCACGAGUUUGAAAAGUAGUGUAUUUUUUGGAAUUUUUAACCAAAUUGUAAAAUGGGAUUCAUUUUUGAACAUGUGUACAAAUUUUGAAAAACAGGAACCUUUUUUCAAAAUGUGAAAAAUAUUUGAAUUUGUGAAUGAAAUUUAAAGCAUGAACAUUUUUUGAAUUUCUGAACAAAUCUUUAAAAACGGGAACCUUUUUUAAUAGCAAUCAAAUUCAUGGGUGAGCCAAAACUUGUCUUUCUGUUCUUCCGUCGCUAUAGACAAGGUCUUCGUUUUUCAUGGGUGAGGAGCUUGAGCAGAGAUAAAGAAAAGGGGGUUAGAGUCACACCCACACCCAAACUCACACUAAGAUUUCCUGAAAACAACUGGUGUGCACAAAGCACAAAUUCUUGAGACAUGCAUGGUGACGUGAGCUGCCAAACUGAAGCAGGUAGCUACUCUGCUUCACCGACAUCUCAGUCCUACUAACCAUAUGCCAUGUACCCAUUCACCGACAUCUGGUGAACACUUGGACUCUUCAAAACUGAGCACACGAAACGGCACGAAACAGGUCAAUUCGCCUUGAUGAAUAUUACUAGUGGCAUGGCAACUCAGUUUAUCUGAUGAAUGUGUAGGCAUUACCAACUCAAUUCCACAGGAUUAAACUAAACCAGGCAGAAAAAUGCAGCAGCCCUUCAAAUCACAGGGUGGACAUGGAGCCUAGGGGGAAGAAGUCUAGUGCUAGUGUCCUACCACUGCUGCUGCUGCUGCUGCAACAACUCACAUUCUUGUCUUGGGAGUGAUACGUCUCCGUCGUAUCUAUAAUUUUUGAUUGUUCUAUGCCAAUAUUAUACAACUUUCAUAUACUUUUGUCAACUUUUUAUAUUAUUUUUGAGACUAACAUAUUGAUCCAGUACCCAGUGCCAGUUCCUGUUUGUUGCAUGUUUUUGUUUCGCAGAAUAUCCAUAUCAAACGGAAUCCAAACGGGAUAAAAACGGACGGAGAUUAUUUUUGGAAUAUUUGAAGAAUUCCGGAAGAAAAAUCCACGCGAGACGGNNNNNNNNNNNNNNNNNNNNNNNNNNNNNNNNNNNNNNNNNNNNNNNNNNNNNNNNNNNNNNNNNNNNNNNNNNNNNNNNNNNNNNNNNNNNNNNNNNNNNNNNNNNNNNNNNNNNNNNNNNNNNNNNNNNNNNNNNNNNNNNNNNNNNNNNNNNNNNNNNNNNNGCGGUUGAUGCCCUUCUUCGGCCGCAAGAAAGCUAAUUUUUGGGAAAAAAUCACGGCGAAGGUUUCAGUCCAAUCGAAGUUACGGAUCUCCAUAUAUAUAUGAAACGGUGAAAGGGCACCAGAAGAGAACGCAGAAACAGAGAGACAGAUCCAAUCUCGGAGGGGCUCUCGCCCCUCCCAUGCCAUGGAGGCCAAGGACCAGAGGGGAAACCCUUCUCCCAUCUAGGGAGGAGGUCAAGGAAGAAGAAGACGAAGGGGCCCCCUCUCCCCUUCUCUUCCGGUGGCACCGGAACGCUGCCGUGGCCAUCAUCAUCACCGCCAUCUUCACCAACAACUUCACCGCCAUCAUCACCAACUCUUCCCCCCUCUAUGCAGCGGUGUAACCUCUCUCUUACCGCUGUAAUCUCUACUUAAACAUGGUGCUCAACGCUAUAUAUUAUUUCCCAAUGAUGUAUGGCUAUCCUAUGAUGUUUGAGUAGAUCCGUUUUUUCUUAAUUGAUGAUCGUGAUUGGUUUGAGUUGCAUGUUUUAUUAUUUGUGCUGUCCUAUGGUGCUCUCUGUGUCGCGCAAGCGUGAGGGAUCCCCGCUAUAGGGUUUGCAAUAUGUUCAUGAUUUGCUUAUGGUGGGUGGCGUGAGUGACAGGAGCACAGACCCGAGUAAGUAGGUUGUUGCGUAUGGGAUAAAGAGGACUUGAUGCUUUAAUGCUAUGGUUGGGUUUUACCUUAAUGAUCUUUAGUAGUUGCGGAUGCUUGCUAGAGUUCCAAUCAUAAGUGCAUAUGAUCCAAGUAGAGAAAGUAUGUUAGCCUAUGCCUCUCCCUCAAAUAAAAUUGCAAUAAUGAUUACCGGUCUAGUUGUCGAUUGCCUAGAGACAAAUAACUUUCUCGUGACAAAAGCUCUCUACUAAAACUAAUUUAGUUGUGUCUUCAUCUAAACAGCCCCUAGCUUUUAUUUACGCUCUCUUUAUUUUCUUGCAAACCUAUCCAAAAACACCUACAAAGUACUUCUAGUUUCAUACUUGUUCUAGGUAAAGCGAACGUUAAGCGUGCGUAGAGUUGUAUCGGUGGUCGAUAGAACUUGAGGAAAUAUUUGUUCUACCUUUAGCUCCUCGUUGGGUUCGACACUCUUACUUAUCGAAAGAGGCUACAAUUGAUCCCCUAUACUUGUGGGUUAUCAGGGAGGCAGAAGAGGAGCACGGGCAUGGAGUUUAUGGGAUGAUCGAUGGGCUGCCGGUCCUGAGACAAGCCCAAGCUGAAUUGAGUUGACUGCCGCCACGUCAGCCCUGACAAGUGGGUCCCACAUGUCAUAAACGCUUUAAAAAUCGGCAAAACGAUCAUGAAACUUACUUGGUAGUUUUUUGUCAAAAAUUUAGCUUCAUCCGGUAGUUUUUGUUGACGUUUGGAAAGUGGUAGUUCUGUGGGACCGAAACUUGUAAUGUGGUAGUUUUUUGUUAAAUACUCUGAGAUGAAGGGAGUACUACUUACUCACAACACAUACGACCAACAAUGUUCAACUCUUUUCAACCGUCUUCACCGAAACGAAAUUAUAAUCGUCUCUGAGAAACCAACAAUGCCAGCAAAAAUAGAAGAAACAUUGUGGUACUUCAAGAUUUUGCACCUCCUUUGGGUCGUCUAUAUAUCAAAACAAACAGGGUACGCUCAACUUCGUCCUGCGGCCUCGUAGAUGUUGGAGAUGUGUUCCAUGGAAAAUACAAGGUUGCUCCUUCCACAACGUUUCACGAUGCAUACAAUAGAAUCUGCUAUGGCAUAUCAGCCUCCAGGAGCUCCCACCAGCAACCUUCCAUGUAAGCAGACGGAGCUGCAAUGUCAAUGGUGGCUAUCAGGAUAGUCCAUGAGCACACCAAGGACCAGACAACUAUCAUAGAUGAGUCAACGGCUCACAAGAGCUCAGCCGUAGAUGGUGAGCAACUCUUACAUCUCAGUAUGUUAGCUGCGAGAAUCUGGUCGUGGAUUGGUAGCCAACAGGAGUGAGGACAUAAUAUAUCAUUAGGAACUUCCCAGUACCUCCCAUGCUUAGGACGGAGUAAUUGAUAAGGCAAGAACAUGAGAGAAGAUGUAACAUGUAUGUUUUUGCGAGGAGGGGGGAGUAUAUAGGGCAUCUACAAAGCUAAGGNNNNNNNNNNNNNNNNNNNNNNNNNNNNNNNNNNNNNNNNNNNNNNNNNNNNNNNNNNNNNNNNNNNNNNNNNNNNNNNNNNNNNNNNNNNNNNNNNNNNNNNNNNNNNNNNNNNNNNNNNNNNNNNNNNNNNNNNNNNNNNNNNNNNNNNNNNNNNNNNNNNNNNNNNNNNNNNNNNNNNNNNNNNNNNNNNNNNNNNNNNNNNNNNNNNNNNNNNNNNNNNNNNNNNNNNNNNNNNNNNNNNNNNNNNNNNNNNNNNNNNNNNNNNNNNNNNNNNNNNNNNNNNNNNNNNNNNNNNNNNNNNNNNNNNNNNNNNNNNNNNNNNNNNNNNNNNNNNNNNNNNNNNNNNNNNNNNNNNNNNNNNNNNNNNNNNNNNNNNNNNNNNNNNNNNNNNNNNNNNNNNNNNNNNNNNNNNNNNNNNNNNNNNNNNNNNNNNNNNNNNNNNNNNNNNNNNNNNNNNNNNNNNNNNNNNNNNNNNNNNNNNNNNNNNNNNNNNNNNNNNNNNNNNNNNNNNNNNNNNNGUGAAGAAUUGUUACUUCUUUCCCCUUUCAUGCAUGGAGAUUGAUUGCUGCAUGCGAAUGCUCUUAUGGCUGACUAUAAAUUACAUUAUAGUCUAGUGGUCUUAGCAAAAAAAUUGAUGAUCUUGCAUUGUUUUUAAUGGUUUUGUUUGUAUUUGGCUAGGAGUUCCAUUUGGAAUGGAACCUUACAUCCAUGAUCUAGUUCUACUCUAGACAUAAUUUUCAAAAACAAAAUCUGCUAUUAGCAACAAAUGCACCUAAUAGCUACUCCCUCCAUUCCAUAAUAUAAGAUGCUAUUACAUCCAAUAUACUCACAUAUUGGAUGUAAUAACAUCUUAUAUUAUGGAACAUAGGGAGUAAUUGAAGGAAAUAUGCCCAAGAGGCAAUAAUGAAGUUCUUAUUUCAUAUUUCCUUAUUCAUGAUAAAGGUUUAUUAUUCAUGCUAGAAUUGUAUUGAUCGGAAACUUAAAUACAUGUGUGAAUACAUAAAAAAAUAAUGUGUCCCUAGUAGGCCUCUACUAGACUAGCUCGUUGAUCAAAGAUGGUUAAGGUUUCCUAACCAUGAACAUGAGUUGUCAUUUGAUAACGGGGUCACAUCAUUAGGAGAAUGAUGUGAUGGACAAGACCCAUCCGUUAGCCUAGCAUAUUGAUCAUUCAGUUUAUUGCUAUCGCUUUCUUCAUGUCAAAUACUUAUUCCUUCGACUAUGAGAUUAUGCAACUCCCGGAUACCGGAGGAAUAUACCUUGUGUGCUAUCAAACGUCACAACAUAACUGGGUGAUCAUAAAGAUGCUCUAUAGGUAUCUUCGAAGGUGUUUGGUGAGUUGGCAUAGAUCGAGAUUAGGAUUUGUCACUCCGAGUAUCGGAGAGGUAUCUCUGGGCCCUCUCGGUAAUACACAUCAUAAGCUUGCAAGCAAAUGACUAAGGAGUUAGUCACGAGGUGAUGUAUUACGGAAUGAGCAAAGUGACUUGCCGGUAACGAGAUUGAACUAGGUAUGAAGAUCCCGACGAUCGAAUCUCGGGCAAGUAACAUAUCGAUGGACAAAGGGAAUUACGUAUGUUGUCAUAACGGUUCGACCGAUAAAGAUCUUCGUAGAAUAUGUAGGAGCCAAUAUGGGCAUCCAGGUUCCGCUAUUUGUUAUUGACCGGAGAGGUGUCUCGGUCAUGUAUACAUAGUUCUCGAACCCGUAGGGUCCGCACGCUUAACGUUCGUUGACAAUAUAGUAUUAUAUGAGUUAUGUGAUUUGGUGACCGAAUGUUGUUCGGAAUCCCGGAUGAGAUGACGGGCAUGAAGAUGAGUCUUGAAAUGGUUGAGAGGUAAAGAUUGACAUAUAGGACGAUGGUAUUCGGACACCGGAAGUGUUUCGGGGGGUACCGGGUACUUAUCGGGUCACCGGAAAGGAGUUUCGGGCACCCCAACAAAGAUAUGGGCCUUAUGGGCCAAGAGAGGGAACACACCAGCCCACAAGGGGCUGGUGUGCCCCCAUAUCAGGUCGGCCUAUGAGGAGGAGAAGGAAAGAGGGGAGGGAAAGGAAAGUGUGGAGUAGGACUCCCCCUUCCUUCCCUCCCCCCUCACAAGUAGGUGGUUGCUUAGAGCUUAUGGCUAAGAAUGCCACCCGCCUUACACNNNNNNNNNNNNNNNNNNNNNNNNNNNNNNNNNNNNNNNNNNNNNNNNNNNNNNNNNNNNNNNNNNNNNNNNNNNNNNNNNNNNNNNNNNNNNNNNNNNNNNNNNNNNNNNNNNNNNNNNNNNNNNNNNNNNNNNNNNNNNNNNNNNNNNNNNNNNNNNNNNNNNNNNNNNNNNNNNNNNNNNNNNNNNNNNNNNNNNNNNNNNNNNNNNNNNNNNNNNNNNNNNNNNNNNNNNNNNNNNNNNNNNNNNNNNNNNNNNNNNNNNNNNNNNNNNNNNNNNNNNNNNNNNNNNNNNNNNNNNNCCACCUUGUUUAUACAAGGAAGUGGGGGCGCCGGGCAAGGCAGGGGCCCUAGGGGCCGGCGGCCAGCCCUAGGGGGCACCCGGGCUGCCUCCCCUCCCCCUCCCACCUAUAUAUAUGUGGGGAGGGGGCGCCACACAAGGACACAAGACUGUCUUAGCCGUGUGGGGCGCCCCCGUCCACCGUUUACUACCUCGGUCAUAUUUUCAUAGUGCUUAGGCGAAGCCCUGCGGAGAUCACAUCAUCAUCACCGUCACCACGCCGUUGUGCUGUAGGAUCUCAUCUACUACCUCGCCGUCUUGCUGGAUCAAGAAGGCGGAGGACGUCACCGAGCUGAACGUGUGCAGAACGCGGAGGUGUCGUGCGUUCCGUACUAGAUCGGUUAGAGCGCGAAGAAAGUUCGACUACAUCAACCGCAUUGUGAAACGCUUCCGCUUACGGUCUAUGAGGGUACAUAGACACACUCUCCCCCCUCGUUGCUAUGCAUCUGCAUGGAUAGAUCAUUGCGUGUGCGUAGAAAUUUUUUGUUUUCCAUGCAACGUUUCCCAACAGUGGCAUCAUGAGCCAGGUCUAUGCGUAGAUGAUAUGCACGAGUAGAACAGAAAGUGUUGUGGGCGGUGAUAGUCAUACUGCUUACCACCAACGUCUUAUUUUGAUUCGGCGGUAUUGUGGGAUGAAGCAGUCCGGAGCAACCUUACAUGUCCACAUACAUGAGACCGGUUCCACCGACAGACAUGCAACUAGUUUUGCAUAAAGGUGGCUGGCGGGUGUCUGUUUCUCCUACUUUAGUUGAAUCGAAUUUGACUGCGGCCGGUCUUUGAAGAAGGUUAAAACAGCAAACUUGAUGAAACACCAUUGUGGUUUUAUGCGUAGGUAAGAACGGUUCUUGCUAGAAGCCCGUAGCAGCCACGUAAAACUUGCAACAACAAAGUAGAGGACGUCUAACUUGUUUUUGCAGGGCAUGUUGUGAUGUGAUAUGGUCAAGACAUGACGUGAUAUACGUUAUUGUAUGAGAUGAUCAUGUUUUGUAAAGUUAUCGGCAACCAUCAGGAGCCUUAUGGUUGUCUCUUUAUUGUAUGAAAUGCAAACGCCAUGUAAUUGCUUUACUUCAUCGCUAUGCGUUAGCAAUAGUUGUAGAAGCAAUAGUUAGUGAGACGACCACGGCACAACGAUGGAGAUCAAGGUGUCGAGCCGGUGAUGAUGGAGAUCAUGACGAUGCUUUGGAGAUGGAGAUCAAAAGCACAAGAUGAUGAUGGCCAUAUCAUGUCACUUAUUUUGAUUGCAUAUGAGGUUUAUCUUUUAUGCAUCUUUAGCUUAGAACGGCGGUAGCAUUAUAAGAUGAUCCCUUCACUAAAUUUCAAGGUAAAAGUGUUCUCCUUGAGUAUGAACUGUUGCUACAGUUCGUCGUGUUGAGACACCAUGUGAUGAUCGGGUGUGAUAGACUCUACGUUCACAUACAACGGGUGCAAGACAGUUUUGCACAUGCGGAAUACUCGGGUUAAACUUGACGAGACAUGCAUGUACAUACAUGGUCUCGGAACACUAGAGAUCGAAAGGUCGAACGUGAAUCAUAUAGUAGAUAUGAUCAACAUAGAGAUGUUCACCAUUGAUGACUACUGCAUCUCACGUGAUGAUCAGACAUGGUUUAGUUGAUUUGGAUCAUGUAUUAUUUAGAUAACUUGAGGGAUGUCUAUCUAAGUGGUAGUUCUUAAGUAAUUUGAUUAAUUGAACAUAAUUUAUCAUGUACUUGAGGGAUGUCUAUCUAUGAAGAUUCCCUCUUAUGUAACCGACUCCAUGUAACCCUAGACCUCCCCGGUGUCUAUAUAAACCGGAGAGCAUAGUCCAGAUAGGACAGAUUCAUUACCAUAUACUCAUAGGAGAGACCUCUAGAGUUUAGCCAUUACGAUCUCGUGGUAGAUCAACUCUUGUAACACUCAUAUUCAUCAAGAUCAAUCAAGCAGGAAGUAGGGUAUUACCUCCAUAGAGAGGACCUGAACCUGGGUAAACAUCGUGUCCCCUGUCUCCUAUUACCAUUGAUCCUAGACGCACAGUUCGGGACCCCCUACCCGAGAUCCGCCGGUUUUGACACCGACAAUGAACUUCUAUUAAUUUGGUCACUUAUCUAUCCAUGAUAUUCUGUAAUGGUUUUUGACACACUUAAUUAUAUAUAAUGCAUGCAGAUGAACCGGCAAUGGAUGUAUGGUGACAGACACACCUCCGAGUACGUUAAGGGCGUGCAUAAUUUUCUCGAAGCGGCUGAGGCAAACAAGCAGAAUGGUUUUAUGUGCUGUCCAUGCCCUAUAUGUGGGAAUACGAAGUCUUACUCUGACCGGAAAAUCCUUCACAGCCACCUGCUUUAUAAGAGUUUCAUGCCACACUAUAAUGUUUGGACCAGGCACGGAGAAAUAGGGGUUAUGAUGGAAGACAGGGAAGAAGAAGGGGACGAUGACAACUAUGUGCCCCCUGAAUACGGUGAUGCUGCAACGUGGGAAGCCGCUGAAGAUCAAGAGGAACCAGACGAUGUGCCCGAUGAUGAUGAUCUCCGCCGGGUCAUUGUUGAUGCAAGGACACAGUGCGAAAGUCAAAAGGAGAAGCUGAAGUUCGAUCGCAUGUUAGAGGAUCACAAAAAAGGGUUGUACCCCAAAUGCGAAGAUGGCAACACAAAGCUCGGUACCGUACUGGAAUUGCUGCAAUGGAAAUCAAAGAAUGUUGUGCCUGACAAAGGAUUUGAGAAGCUACUGAAAAUAUUGAAGAAGAAACUUCCAAAGGAUAACGAAUUGCCCGACAGUAUGUACGCAGCAAAGAAGGUCGUAUGCCCUCUAGGAUUGGAGGUGCGGAAGAUACAUGCAUGCCCUAAUGACUGCAUCCUCUACCGUGGUGCGUACGAGGAUUUGAACGCAUGCCCAGUAUGCGGUGCAUUGCGGUAUAAGAUCAGACGAGAUGACCCUGGUGAUGUUGACGGCGAGCCCCCCGGGAAUUGGGUUCCUGCGAAGGUUAUGUGGUAUGCUCCUAUAAUACCACAGUUGAAACGUCUGUUCAGAAACGAAGAGCAUGCCAAGUUGAUGCGAUGGCGCAGAGAGGACCGUAAGAAAGACGGGAAGUUGAGAGCACCCGCUGACGGGUCGCAGUGGAGAAAAGUCGAGAGAAAGUACUGGGCUGAGUUUGCAGGUGACCCAAGGAACGUAUGGUUUGGUUUAAGCAUGGAUGGCAUUAAUCCUUUCGGGGAGCAGAGCAACAAUCACAGCACCUGGCCCGUGACUCUAUGUAUGUAUAACCUUCCUCCUUGGAUGUGCAUGAAGCGGAAGUUCAUUAUGAUGCCAGUUCUCAUCCAAGGCCCUAAGCAACCCGGCAACGACAUUGAUGUGUACCUAAGGCCAUUAGUUGAAGAACUUUUACAGUAGUGGAAUGGAAACGGUGUACGUGUGUGGGAUGAGCACAAACAGGAGGAAUUUAACUUGCACGCGUUGCUGUUUGUAACCAUCAAUGAUUGGCCCGCUCUCAGUAACCUUUCAGGACAGACAAACAAGGGAUACCACGCAUGCACGCACUAUUUAGCUGACACCGAAAGUAUAUACCUGGACAAAUGCAGGAAGAAUGUGUACCUGGGCCAUCGUCGAUUUCUUCCGACCAACCAUCAAUGUCGAAAGAAAGGCAAGCAUUUCAAAGGCGACGCAGAUCACAGGAAGAAGCCCGCCAUGCGUACCGGUGAACACGUACUUGCUAUGGUCAAUGAUUUACACGUAAUCUUUGGAAAGGGUCCCGGCGGACUAUCUGUUCCGAAUGACGCUGAGGGACGCGCACCCAUGUGGAAGAAGAAAUAUAUAUUUUGGGACCUACCCUACUGGAAAGACCUAGAGGUCCGCUCUUCAAUCGACGUGAUGCACGUGACGAAGAACUUUUGCGUGAACCUGCAAGGCUUCUUGGGCGUGUAUGGGAAGACAAAAAAUACACCGGAGGCACGGGAGGACCUGCAACGUUUGCACGAAAAAGACGGCAUGCCUCCAAAGCAGUAUGAAGGUCCUACCAGCUACGCUCUUACCAAAGAAGAGAAGGAAAUCUUCUUUGAAUGCCUGCUCAGUAUGAAGGUCCCGACUGGCUUCUCGUCGAAUAUAAAGGGAAUAAAAUAUGCCAAAGAAAAAGUUCAAUAACCUAAAGUCUCAUGACUGCCACGUGAUUAUGACGCAACUGCUUCCGGUUGCAUUGAGGGGGCUUCUACCGGAAAACGUCCGAUUAGCCAUUGUGAAGCUAUGUGCAUUCCUCAUGCAAUCUCUCAGAAGGUGAUCGAUCUAGAAAUAAUACCAAGGCUAAGGAGUGAUGUGGCGCAAUGUCUUGUCAGUUUCGAGCUGGUGUUUCCACCAUCCUUCUUCAAUAUCAUGACGUACGUCCUAGUUCAUCUAGUCGACGAGAUUGUCAUUCUGGGCCCUGUAUUUCUACACAAUAUGUUCCCCUUUGAGAGGUUCAUGGGAGUUCUAAAGAAAUAUGCAUGUAACCGCGCUAGGCCAGAAGGAAGCAUCUCCAUGGGCCAUCAAACAGAGGAUGUCAUUGGAUUUUGUGUUGACUUCAUUCCUGGCCUUAAGAAGAUUGGUCUCCCUCAAACGCGGUAUGAGGGGAGACUGACUGGAAAAGGCACGCUUGGAGGGGACUCAAUAAUAUGCAGGGACGGGCAUUCUUGGUCUGAAGCACACUACAUAGUUCUACAGAACUCUACCUUGGUGACCCCGUAUGUCGAUGAACACAAGAACAGUCUGCGCUCCAAACACCCAGAGCAGUGUGGUGACUGGAUUACAUGUGAACACAUCAGGACUUUCGGCGGUUGGUUGGAAACAUGUCUCAAAGGUGACAACACUGUUUGUGAUGAGUUGGACUCGUUGUCCAGGGGACCAUCUUCGACUGUAUUGACUUACAAAGGAUACGAGAUAAAUGGGAAUACAUUUUACACGAUCUCCCAAGAUCAAAAGAGCACCAACCAAAACAGCGGUGUCCACUUUGAUGCAGCAACCAAGAGGGGAAAGGACACAUAUUCUGGUUACAUAGUGGACAUAUGGGAACUUGACUAUGGACAUGAUUUUAAGGUCCCUUUGUUUAAGUGCAAAUGGGUCAAUCUGUCAGGAGGAGGGGUACAGGUAGACCCACAGUACGAAUGACAACAGUGGAUCUGAACAAUCUUGGGUACACAGACGAACCAUUUGUCCUAGCCAAUGAUGUGGCUCAGGUUUUCUGUGUGAAGGACAUGUCUACCAAACCGAGAAAAAGAAAAGAUAAGGAAGCGAACACAUCAUACGAUGAGCCAAAGUGCCACAUAGUUCUUUCAGGAAAAAGAGACAUCGUGGGAGUGGAGGGCAAGACAGACAUGUCCGAAGAUUAUGAAAAGUUUCAUGAAAUUCCUCCCUUCAAAGUCAAGGCUGACCCAAGCACCCUGUUAAACGAUGAAGAUUAUCCAUGGUUACGGCGCAAUAAGCAAAGGACAGAAGCAAAGAAAAAGUGAAGACUUUCUCUCCAUGACUAUUAUGAUGAUGCCUUUGAUCUAGAAUAUCCAUGUAACAGAUGAGUUUCCGUAUGAAACCCUGAUACUUCGAAAGAGAUUGUCCGUUUUGUACACGAAGUGCAUCCAGUUUUUGCCAUAACCCUCUCAACUUUUUAGCACAUGCUAUUUGGGUGAAAUGAUGAUACCAUGCCAACUUUCAACCUUUUCAGAGUUCAUCUGUAGUGCUUUUAAAUUUCAGGGUCAUUUAGCUAUAAAAAAUCAGUAAAUGCAUGAAAAAUAACAAAUGACGUCAGAAAGGGUUGAAAAUUGAUGAUGUGGCUUUGAAUGGUGCAUUUUGAACACACAAAGAGUCUGGAGUUCAAAUAAGUUCAAAAAAUGAAAAUUGAUGUAGUGCUUUUCAAUUUCAUGGUCAUUUAGCUCAAAGAAUGAACUAAUAUAAAAAAGAAUGAACUAGAAAACUUUUAUGAAACUCUAAUAGCAAAAAUAAUAAACUAAAAUUUAUGCAACUAAAAUUAUCAAAGUAUUUUCUGUUCAAAACAUUAAAAGCAAAAAAGAAUUUUCAUAAAGAACUUUUUUUGUUAGAAACUAUAAUCGCAAAAAGAAUUAUCAUAAAGAUUUCUUUUGUUAGAAACUAAAAUAACAAAAACUGUUUUUGAAUAUAAUGAUAAAACACAGUAAUAUUAAAUAGCAGGAAAAGGAAUCACUCCAAAAUCUAUUUUAUAGUAAAGUUAAUCACAAACUAGUGAUUCACACAAAUUUCAAAUAAUUCAAAUUUAAAGUAUUCAAAUUGGAAAAUUAAUGGCACUAACAAAAAGUUUAUAAUUUUUAUUACCUAAAACCAAAAAGAAUAACUGAAAAACUAGUAAGUAUUUUGUUGUAAGUAGAAACAAAAUAAAAUAAAUAAAACAAAAUAGAAAGCAAAAAAACUGGAUAUUUUUUUUAAAAGUGCCACCUACUUGGCCACCACGGCCUGCAUACGACUAGAAACCCGCUAGUGGGGCCAGGAUGCAGGUCCGCAGUAGGCCCAAUAGGCCCACAGGCACAGAGAGUGGAUUUAGGCCUGUAAGCCUGCAGUAGAGAGGAGCUCGAAGUGGUCGGCUCGGCAGGGCUUAUAAACCACUCCGAGCCCCUCUCGGCUAGCGAGGUGGGACUAAACAUCGCACCGCAUUGCGCCAGUUCCAGCACACGACCUUUGGUCCCGGUUGGUGGCACCAACCAGGACUAAUGGGUGGCAUUGGUACCGGUUCUUAGCACCAACCGGGACCAAUGCCCCUCUUUGGUCCCGGUUGGUGCCACCAACCGGGACCAACGGUCUCUGUUUCCCGCCCUUUGGGCUGCUGAAAAGAGGCCUUUGGUCCUGGUUGGUGGUAAUUUAGUCAAAAAGUAAUUAUGUAUUAGGAAAAACCUUCACUUUUUGACUAAAUUUUCUAUUUGAACAUUUCUUAAAAAAACCAAGCAAUACUACUUUAUUUGAACAUUCUCUGAUUUAGGUUAGUGCAUUAGAUGUUAGGUUAGUGUGCAUUUUAGAUUAGUUGAAUUAGAUGUUUUUUAUUAAGUGUUUAAUAGAAUUAGUUAGAAAAAUAAUAGAACUAGCUAGUUAAACUAGUUUAUUUUUAGUAAGUACUACUUUAUUUUGUUUAUAGUAAUUAAGUGCUUAGUAGCUGAACUAGUUGAUUUAAUAAAACUACUUUAUUUUACUAUAGAAGUAGUUUAUUUUUAGUAAGUAGUACUUUAUUUUAUUUAUAGUAAGUGCUUAUUAGUAGUUGAACUAGUUGAUUUAAUAAAACUACUUUAUUUUACUAUAGAAGUAGUUUAUUUUUAGUAAGAAAAAUAAUAGAAUUAGUUUAUUUUUUUAGUUAAAGCAAGUAUUCCCGCAUCGACGUCGACGAUGCCUAUCCCACAUCCUCGUCGUCGACUCGGCGGAGGGGCCAUGUCCGGGACUGGGCUCCGCCGGGCUGGUAUUGGGAGGUGCUACCUUCCGGGGGCGUAGCUUGGUGAGGAGCCAGACCGUCGUUGACCCGAACCUUGUUUGGUUGCGGUCGCAUGGGCCAGUGACGGUUCUGAGGCUUCCGGACACCGCGGAGGUGGUACGUCAUCGUGUCAGCGAGGAGGACGAGCACGUCCGUGGCUACAUGGUUGCGUUGGAGGGCAGGUUCUCCAAUACCUGGGAGGUUCUUCAGGGAUCUCACUGGAGCUAUGAUCCUGUGAUGGUUUCUUCUCUUUGGGUGUCCACCGACCACGCCGGUACCGUCGGGCGCUAUGGUUCUAGCUGUAUUAGCGAUGUUAUAUGUAUGAUACUAUUCAAGGUGUAUUAGUGAUAAUAUUCGACGGUGUACGGACGCAAGAGAUGAUGUAGUUUUGCUUACUGAACGCAUGCUAAUUUGAAUACUAAUUUAUUUUACGAUUUGGUUUUGCUUAUUGAAUGCUCAAACUGGAAAACUACGCCCUACUUUGAAUGCUAAAAUUGGAGAGCACUAUGCAAGGCGUAUGCAUUUGAUUAGUUGAUAGCUUAUAGGGUUUUUGUUUUUGCAUAAAUCUAGGAGCCACCUCCAUCAUCCCCGCCGUCGUCCCCGUCACCGACCCCCCCUCCGACCUCGAGGUGAGACCAGCCAAAUAUCCAUGUCAAUAUAAGUCCUAUAAGAUAUUUUGAAAUGUUUUUGCUCAUAUUUUCAACCAUUGAAAUGUAAUGGCCAUCAAGUUUGAAUGCUCAUAUGAUGUAGAUAAAAACAUGUAUAUUUCCAUUCCGGCAAAUUUCAGGCGCUCGAUAUGUCCUUUUUUAGAAAGAUAAUUAAACGAUAUUUCGGGUUGACUUUAAGUCUAUCGAGUCUCCACCAUAUAUGAGAGGACGAAGAAUCCCGACUGUUGUCGUGGGGGUAGCUUCUCCUUCGUUCCCGUGUGCUAGACAAUUUGGUGUAAUGCACUCGGGAACGAAAGGAGGAGCUACUAUCACCGACGAUCGCAAAUGUCAGAGAGGAAUCAGUGAGGGAGAGUCUCCACCAUAUGUAUAUGAGAGGACGAAGAAUCCCGACUGUUGUCAUGGGGGUAGCUUCUCCUUCGUUCCCGUGUGCUAGACAAUUUGGUGUAAUGCACUUGGGAACGAAAGGAGGAGCUACCAUCACCGACGGUCGAAUAUAUACACCACGUGAGCUGAGAGUUUUCAAGAAAAGACUCGACAGACCGAUAGUCAAGCUGUGAUGAAUAAUAAUGUUCUGAUUUAGUUUUUGUAGUACAUAUAUUUAAUUGUACAAGUUUAAUCUUUGAAUUAUGAACAUAGGAAAUGUCGUACUCGGACGACGAAAGUCUCCCGGGGGAGUGCUCCUGGUGCAACGACGACUGAGGUCUGUGCGACAGGUUCCUUCACCUGGACGAAGAUCGGCGCUUCAGCAUUAAGCUCCAGGAAACCUUCGAUGUUGAAACGGUACGCAACGACGACAAGUGUUUUUUUCGUAAUUAAGCACGACUUCAACUAUUUCAACGUGUAAUUUUCAUCUUUUACAAUUCGACUAGCUUAUCCCAUGCCAUGCAAUACGCUAUGUCUUGGAGAGGAUGGGUUUUGAAGACCAUGAAAGUUUUGAAACAAAGAAAAUUCACCUAAGGACCCAUCGUGGUAUGGAUUUUGAAGUAAAUCUGUACAAUUCUCGGAGCGUAACCCAUUUUGGUUGCCCAAAUUGGGAAGCACUUUGCAAGAUGUAUGGUUUUUAUGAGGAUAUGCUUGUCACCAUGGAUCUUGGUGAUCCUAACAUCGAGCAAGACAAUAUGGACAUUUGGGUCCUUGUUGAUACGCUUCCAAUUCUACCGCUAUGUGAGUUUCUCAAACAUAGUUAUUAGCUAAUUUAUAUUGUUUAUUUCAAAAUAUUUGACAGCUUAUUUCCAUUGACAGCUUAUUUUCAUUCUUCAAACAAUGUGCGGAAGAUGGUAGACAAAACCCACUACACCGAUGGCUCCGAAUUAACUUAUCAGGAGAAAAAUCAUCUGAUCGCAUUUUGUACUGACCUUGAGAAUUAUAAUACCUAUUAUGAUGCUCCUCAACAUUAUGGUCAAUAUGUGCCACUAGUGCACGUGUUGAACUACGUUAACAUCCAUGGAGAUAAAAUGGUAAGAUUUUUUACUAUUACGACAUUCGUGCUUCUUUUGCAUAAAUUCUUCUAAAACUCAACUAUACAUUGCUAACUACGAAGUUAUUACUAUGUUUUUCAACAGAUAAUCCCAAAUGAUUGUGUGCCUCAUCUGAUGAUGUUUCCGAAAGGUCGCGUUGAUGUUGUGAACUUACAGCCAGGUUAUCCUACGCAUCACAGCUGUCCAUACCGGAUUUCAAAAACCGAUCAACACAUGACAAUCAAAGAUUGGACAAAAUGUGUGGUCAAACGUACGGAGCUACUUGGAAGCAAAAGGAAGCAAAGCGCAAGAAUUGGAGAUAGGAUGAUCUCCAUUCUCCAUAAUGGAGAGUCAGGGCCUAUAUUGUUUUAUGCUAUAUUACCUUAAAGAGGGUAUUUAGGUCCUACCUAAUACUGAUGAUCAUGUGCUAAGAACAAUUAUAUUGGGUUGGUUUGAUGACUAUGAGGAUGAUGAUCGUAUGACUUGUUAUUAAUAACAAGUAGAAGUUGUAUGAUGAUGAUUAGUAGGACUUGUUAUUAUGAUGAUGCAUGAUGCGAGCAUGAAGAGUUAUUAUAUAUCAGUGGGUGAAAUGAACAUGGAUUGGAUUGAAGUGAAGGCAACAUGUGCUGCAUGUCGAAAGUAGUACUAGUCCAAACUUGAUCAAGUUAGGAUUAGUAUUAUUUUCGACAUGCACCACAUGUUGCCUUCACUUCAAUGUAAGCCAUGUUUAGGCAUAGCAGUAGCGUUGGUAAACCAAGCACGGAGAUAAGAGAGGACACUUCUCUCUAUUAGCUAGCUAACACCCUAGCUAAAUUAACCCCCCAAAACCCCCUAAACCACCCCCUUUCAAAAAAAACCUCAGCUCCUGCUAGCUGCUGACGCGCGGAUGCCUUUUGGUCCCGGUUGGUGCUACCAACCGGGACCAAAGGCCCUCCUGCCUGGGCUCGCCGCAGCGGCCACGUGGAGGCCCAUCUGUCCCAGUUGGUGUAAGAACCGGGACUAAAGGUUUAGGGCUUUAGUACCGACCCUUUAGUCCCGGUUCCCCAACCGGGAAAAUGGGCCUUACGAACCGGGACAAAUGGCCCUUUUUCUACUAGUGAUUGCUGCAUAGAAGAAUUAUGUCCUUGAUGCACUGCUAGGUGACAAACCUAUUGUAGGAGCAGAUGCAGAUGUUAUGAACAUUUUGCAAGCUCGAUAUGAUGACUACUUGAUAGUUUAGUGCGCCAUGCUUUACGGCUUAGAACCGGGACUUCAAAAAUGUUUUGAACGCCACGGAACAUAUGAGAUAUUCCAAGAGCUGAAAUUGGUAUUCAGACUCAUGCCCCUGUCGAGAGGUAUGAGACCUCUGACAAGUACUUUGCCUACAAGAUGGAGGAGAAUAGCUCAGCCAAUGAGCAUAUGCUCAGAAUGUCUGGGUACUACAAUCGCUUGAAUCAAGUAGGAGUUAAUCUUCCAGAUAAGAUAGUGAUUGAAAGAGUUCUCUAGUCACUAUCACCAAGCUGCUAGAACUUUGUGAUGAACUAUAAUAUGCAAGGGAUGACGAAGACGAUUCCUGAGCUCUUCGCGAUGCAGAAAUCGGCGAAGGUAGAAAUCAAGAAAAAGCAUCAAGUGUUGAUGGUUAACAAGACCACUAGUUUCAAGAAAAGGGCAAGGGAAAGAAAGGGAACUUCAAGAAGAAUGCCAAGCAAGUUGCCACUCCCAUGAAGAAGCCCAGAGCUAGACCGAAGCCUGAAACUGAGUGCUUCUACUACAAAGGAAAUGGUCACUGGAAGCGGAACUGCCCCAAAUACUUGGCGGAUAAGAAGGAUGGCAAAGUGAAUUAAGGUAUAUAUGAUAUACAUGUUAUUGAUGUGUACUUUACUAGUGUUCAUAGCAACCCCUGGGUAUUUGAUACCAGAUCAGUUACUGAGAUUAGUAACUCGAAACAGGAGUUGCAGAAUGAACAGAGACUGGUUAAGGGCGAAGUGACGCUGUGUGUGUUGGAAGUAAUUCCAAGGUUGAUACGAUCACCAUCGCACACUCCCUCUACCUUCGAGAUUAGUUUGAACCUAAAAUAAAUGUUUUUUGGCUUUUGCAUUGAGCAUGAAUAUGUUUAGAUCAUGUUUAUUGCAAUACGGUUAUUCAUUUAAGUCAGAGAAUAAUCGUUGUUCUGUUUACAUGAAUGAAACCUUCUAUGGUCAUACACCAAAUGUAAAUGGUUUAUUGAAUCUCGAUCAUAGUGAUACACAUAUUCAUAAUAUUGAUGCCAAAAGAUGCAAAGCUGAUAAUGAUAGUGCAACAUACUUGUGCACUUCCGUUUUGGUCAUAUUGGUGUAAAGCGCGUGAAGGAACUCCAUGCGGAUGGACUUUUGGAAUCACUUGAUUAUAAAUCAUUUGAUACUUGUGAACCAUGUCUCAUGGGCAAGAUGACUAAAACUCUGUUCUCCGGAACAAAGGAGCGAGCUAAUGACUUAUUGGAAAUAAUACAAACCGAUGUAUGCGGUUCGAUGAGUGUUGAGGCAUGCGGCGGGUAUCAUUAUUUUCUAACCUUCAUAGAUGAUUUGAGCAGAUAUGGGUAUAUCUACUUAAUGAAACACAAGUUUGAAACAUUUGAAAAGUUCAAAGAAUUUCAGAGUGAAGUGGACAAUAGUCGUAACAAGAAAAUAAAGUUUCUAUGAUCUGAUUGCGGAGGCGAAUAUUUGAGGUACGAGUUUGGCCUUCAUAUAAAACAAUGUGGAAUAGUUUCACAAUUAAACGCCACCUGGAACACCACAGCAUAAUGGUGUGUUCGUAAGUCAUAACCGUAAUUUAUUAGAUAUGGUUCGUUCCAUGAUGUCUCUUACCGGUUUGCCACUAUCGUUUUGGGGUUAUGCAUUAGAGACAGCCGCAUUCACGUUAAAUAGGGCACCGUCUAAAUCCGUUGAGAUGACACCGUAUGAACUGUGGUUUGGCAAGAAACCUAAGCUGUCAUUUCUUAAAAGUUUGGGGAUACGACGCUUAUGUCAAAAGGCUUCCGUCUGAUAAGCUUGAACCCGAAGCGGAGAAGUGUGUCUUCAUAGGAUACCCUAAGGAAACCAUUGGGUACACCUUCUACCACAGAUCUGAAGGCAAGAUCUUUGUUGCUAAGAAUGGAUCCUUUCUAGAGAAGGAAUUUCUCGCGAAAGAAGUGAGUGGGAGGAAAGUAGAAUUUGAUGAGGUAAUUGUACCUUCUCUCAAAUUGGAAAGUAGCACAUCAGAGAAAACCGUUCCCGUGAUGCCUACACCAACUAGAGAGGAAGCUCAUGAUGAUGAUCAUAAAACUUUAGAUCAAGUUACUACUGAAUUUUGUAGGUCAACCAGAACACGUUCCGCACUAGAGUGGUACGGUAAUCCUGUCCUGGAAGUCAUGUUACUAGACCAAAUCAAACCUACGAACUAUGAAGAAGCUAUGAUGAGCCCAGAUUCUGACAGAUGGCUUGAGGCCGUGAAAUUUGAGGUAGGAUCCAUGUAUGAGAACAAAGUGUGGACUUUGGUGGACUUGCCCGAUGAUCGGCAGGCCAUUGAGAAUAACUGGAUCUUCAAGAAGAAGACAGACGCUGGUGGUAAUGUCACCAUGUACAAAGCUCGACUUGUCGCGAAAGGUUUUCCACAAGUUCAAGGGGUUGACUACGAUGAGACUUUCUCACCCGUAGUGAUGCUUAAGUCUGUCCGAAUCAUGUUAGCAAUUGCCACAUUUUAUGAUUAUGAAAUCUGGCAAAUGGACAUCAAAACUGCAUUCCUUAAUGGAUGUCUUAAAGAAGAGUUGAAUAUGAUACAAUCAAAACAUUUUGUCGAUCCUAAAGAUGCUAACAAAGAAUGCAAGCUCCAGUGAUCCAUCUAUGGACUGGUGCAAGCAUCUCGGAGUUGGAAUAUACGCUUUGAUGAGGUGAUCAAAGCAUAUGGUUUUAUACAAACUUAUGGUGAAGCCUGUACUUACAAGAAAGUGAGUGGGGCCUCUGUAGCAUUUCUGAUACUAUAUGUAGAUGACAUAUUGUUGAUUGGAAAUGAUAUAGAAUUUCUGGAAAGCAUAAAAGGAUACUUGAAUAAGAAUUUUUCAAUGAAAGACCUCGGUGAAGCUACUUAUAUAUUGGGCAUCAAGAUCUAUAGAGAUAGAUCAAGACGCUUAAUAGGACUUCCACAAAGCACAUACCUUGACAAAGUUUUGAAGAAGUUUAAAAUGGAUCGGUCAAAGAAAUGGUUCUUGCCUGUGUUACAAGGUGUGAACUUGAGUAAGACUCAAAAACCCGACCACAGCAGAAGAUAAAGAGAGAAUGAAAGUCAUUCCCUAUGCCUCAGCCAUAGGUUCUAUAAAGUAUGCCAUGCUGUGUACCAGAUCUAUUGUGUACCUUGCCAUGAGUUUGGCAAGAGGGUACAAUAGUGAUCGAGGAGUAGAUCACUCGACAGCGGUCAAAAUUAUCCUUAGGUACCUAAAGAGGACUAAGGAAAUAUUUCUCGGUUAUGGAGGUGACAAAGAGUUCAUCGUAAAGGGUUACGUCGAUGCAAGCUUUGACACUGAUCCGGAUGAAUCUGAGUCUCAAUCUGGAUACAUAUUAAAAGUGGGAGCAAUUAGCUAGAGUAGCUCCGUGCAGAGCAUUGUAAACAUAGAAAUUAAUUUCAAAAUACAUACGGAUCUGAAUAUGGCAGACCUGUUGACUAAACCUCUCACACAAGCAAAACAUGAUCACACCUUAGUACUCUUUGGGUGUUAAUCACAUGGCGAUGUGAACUAGAUUAUUGACUCUAGUAAACCCUUUGGGUGUUGAUCACAUGGCAAGGUGAACUAUGGGUGUUAAUCACAUGGCGAUGUGAACUAUUGGUGUUAAUCACAUGGUGAUGUGAACUAGAUUACUGACUCUAGUGCAAGUGGGAGACUGAAGGAAAUAUUCCCUAGAGGCAAUAAUAAAGUUGUUAUUUAUAUUUCCUUAUUCAUGAUAAAAGGUUUAUUAUUCAUGCUAGAAUUGUAUUGAUCGGAAACUUAAAUACAUGUGUGAAUACAUAAACAAAUACCGUGUCCCUAGUAAGCCUCUACUAGACUAGCUCGUUGAUCAAAGAUGGUUAAGGUUUCCUAACCAUGGACAUGAGUUUUCAUUUGAUAACGGGAUCACAUCAUUAGGAGAAUGAUGUGAUGGACAAGACCCAUCCGUUAGCUUAGCAUAUUGAUCGUUCAGUUUAUUGCUAUUGCUUUCUUCAUGUCAAAUACUUAUUCCUUCGACUAUGAGAUUAUGCAACUCCCGGUAGGAAUACCUUGUGCUAUCAAACGUCACAACGUAACUAGGUGAUCAUAAAGAUGCUCUAGAGGUAUCUCUGAAGGUGUUUGUUGAGUUGGCAUAGAUCGAGAUUAGGAUUUGUCACUCCGAGUAUCGGAGAGGUAUCUCAAGGCCCUCUCGGUAAUACACAUCAUAAGCUUGCAAGAAAACGGCUAAGGAGUUAGUCACGAGGUGAUGUAUUACGGAACAAGUAAAGAGACUUGCCGGUAACGAGAUUGAACUAGGUAUGAAGAUACCGAUGAUCGAAUCUCGGGCAAGUAACAUACCGAUGGACAAAGGGAAUUACGUAUGUUGUCAUAAUGAUUCGACCGAUAAAGAUCUUCGUAGAAUAUGUAGGAGCCAAUGUGGGCAUCCAGGUUCCGCUAUUGGUUAUUGACCGGAGAGGUGUCUCGGUUAUGUCUACAUAGUUCUCGAAACCGUAGGGUCCGCACGCUUAACAUUCGUUGACGAUAUAGUAUUAUACGAGUUAUGUGAUUUGGUAACUGAAUGUUGUUUGGAGUCCCGGAUGAGAUCACGGAUAUGACGAGGAGUCUCAAAAUGGUCGAGAGGUAAAGAUUGAUAUAUAGGACGAUGGUAUUUGGACACCGAAAGUGUUUCGGGGGGUACCAGGUACUUAUCGGGUCACCGGAAAGGAGUUUCGGGCACCCCGGCAAAGAUAUGGGCCUUAUGGGCCAAGAGAGGGAACACACCAGCCCACAAGGGGCUGGUGCGCCCCCAUAUCAGGCCGGCCUAUGAGGAGGAGAAGGAAAGAGGGGAGGGAAAGGAAAGUGUGGAGUAGGACUCCCCCUUCCUUCCCUCCCCCCCCCCCACCCUCUUUCCUUCCACCUUGUUUAUACAAGGAAGGGGGCGCAGGGCAAGGCAGGGGCCGGCGGGCAGCCCUAGGGCGCGCCCUGGCUGCCUACCCUCCCCCUCCCACCUAUAUAUAUGUGGGAAGGGGGCGCCACACAAGGACACAACAUUGUCUUAGCCAUGUGCGGCGCCCCCGUCCACCGUUUACUAUCUCAGUCAUAUUUUCAUAGUGCUUAGGCGAAGCCCUGCGGAGAUCACACCAUCAUCACCAUCACCACGCCGUCGUGCUGCCGGAACACAUCUACUACCUUGCUGUCUUGCUGGAUCAAAAGGCGGAGGACGUCACCGAGCUGAAUGUGUGCAUAAGAGGAGGUGCCGUGCUUUCGGUACUAGAUCAAUUGGAGCGCGAAGAAAGUUCGACUACAUCAACCACAUUGUGAAACGCUUCCGCUUACGGUCUACGAGGGUACGUAGACACACUCUCCCCCUCAUUGUUAUGCAUCUCCAUGGAUAGAUCAUUGCGUGUGCUUGGAAAUUUUUUGUUUUCCAUGUAACGUUUCCCAACAGUAAUAGCUUAGAGUUUUGAUUGACCUUGUCAUCUAAGCUUGAACACAGUUCCCUAUGAGUCAAAAAUCUAGUACAAAAUGUGAUGCCCCAAUUUCCGUGCUAAUUGCUAUCUUUGAAUCUUUUUUACUUGAAUUGUACCUGAAUUUGUUUGCCCUGGUUUGGUUUGGCUUUGUAUCUCAAAGGUCAGCAAAACCUCCUAGCCAAGUUAGGAGACAACUAAUCCUCGCAAACCUCAUCUGUGAAUCUGGCCAUCUAAAUGUUUCAUAAACUUAGACAACAAUGCAAAACCAAAAUAAAAUGCUGAAAAUAUAAACAAACAUCAACUGAAUGCGAAGUCGAAACCCCUUUGGAAACAACAUAUUUUGCAAUGAAAAAAUCUCGAGAAAGAUGAUGAAAUUCCAUACUUAGUUUUUUAUGGUGCUAAUGACCGGAGAUCUCUUUUCAUUGAUUAGGUGGUCGCAGAUCACGAUGCAUCUUCCAGGAAGAACCAACAACGAGAAGAAGAACUACUGGAACUCGUACCUAAAGAAGAGGGUGAUGCAGUUGGGCUCUCCCCNNNNNNNNNNNNNNNNNNNNNNNNNNNNNNNNNNNNNNNNNNNNNNNNNNNNNNNNNNNNNNNNNNNNNNNNNNNNNNNNNNNNNNNNNNNNNNNNNNNNNNNNNNNNNNNNNNNNNNNNNNNNNNNNNNNNNNNNNNNNNNNNNNNNNNNNNNNNNNNNNNNNNNNNNNNNNNNNNNNNNNNNNNNNNNNNNNNNNNNNNNNNNNNNNNNNNNNNNNNNNNNNNNNNNNNNNNNNNNNNNNNNNNNNNNNNNNNNNNNNNNNNNNNNNNNNNNNNNNNNNNNNNNNNNNNNNNNNNNNNNNNNNNNNNNNNNNNNNNNNNNNNNNNNGCAUGGAGAUUGCUGCAUGCGAAUGCUCUUAUGGCUGACUAUAAAUUACAUUAUAGUCUAGUGAUCUUAGCAAAAAAUUGAUGAGCUUGCAUUGUUUUUAAUGGUUUGGUUUGUAUUUGGCUAGGAGUUCCAUUUGGAAUGGAACCUUACAUCCAUGAUCUACUCUAGACAUAAUUUUCAAAAUAAAAUUAUAAUAUGCUAUUAGCAACAAAUGCACCUAAUAGCUACUCCCUCCGUUCCAUAAUAUAAGAUGCUAUUACAUCCAAUAUACUCACAUAUUGGAUGUAAUAACAUCUUAUAUUAUGGAACAUAGGGAGUAAUAGCUUAGAGUUCUGAUUGACCUUGUCAUCUAAGCUUGAACACAGUUCCCAUAUGAGUCAAAAAUCUAGUACAAAAUGUGAUCCCCCAAUUUCCCUGUUAAUUGCUAUCUUUGAAUCUUUUUUACUUGAAUUGUGCCUGAAUUUGUUUGCCUUGGUUUGGUUUGGUUUGGUAUCUCGAAGGUCAGCAAAACCUCCUAGCCAAGUUAGGAGACAACUAAGGAAUCCUCACAAACCUCAUCUGUGAAUCUGGCCAUCUAAACAUUUCAUAAACUUAGACAACAAUGCAAAACCAAAAUAAAAUGCUGAAAACAUAAACAAACAUCAACUGAAUGCGAAGUCGAAACCCCUUUGAAAACAACAUAUUUUGCGAUGAAAAAAUCUCGAGAAAGACGAUGAAAUUCCAUACUUAGUUUUUUAUGGUGUUAAUGACCUGAGAUCUCUUUUCAUUGAUUAGGUGGUCGCAGAUCACGAUGCAUCUGCCAGGAAGGACCGACAACAAGAUGAAGAACUACUGGAACUCGUACCUAAAGAAGAGGCUGAUGUAGUUGGGAUCCUCCAAACCUGCCAGCAAGAACACGUAGCCGGAGAUGCUCACCUCAAUGAGGGUCACCACCAAGCUCAUCAUGACCUAGUUAGAGAGUCUAGGUAAAGCAAAUGUUUAGUAUGAGAAAGGUUGUAUCAUUGGCAGAUAGAAUCUGAAAGGAUAUGUAUCCUAUCUUUAGCUCUUUUGGGAUAUCGGCAGUCCAUACUUACCAUGUCCACUUUGGAAAGUGCUAUAGUAACUUCCUGCAUUUGAGGACUAUCAAGGAUGCAUCCUCAGAGGAGGUGUUACGCAACUGGAGGUGGAGCUUGCGGAUAUCACUGCCGUCUUGGCGCUCCUCGUGGACCCGAAGAUCGUGAAGGAGAAUCGGGUAGUGCUCUUGCUAGUCCAGAGAGCCCACACGGUUGACCGCCAGCACUGCCAGUUCCGCAUCAACAAGGCACGGUACAUCUAGCUCUUCAAGGAGCUCGAGGCUAAGUACGACAAGGAGGCGGAGCAGCACGCUGAUGAUGCCAAAGAUGUGCACGUAAAUGACUCCGGUGGGUUCUCGCCGGCGACCAAUGACGACGAGGUGGGCGGGGCGUGGGGGAUGUCGAUCUCACCUCUGACAUGAAGGAGUGGGAUUUAGUUGUUUUUAGUAGUUUUAGUGAUCUUUUGGAUGGUAAAAAUCCUAUGAACUAGCAUUAACGUUGAAUGGCUCAGUGUGCGUGUCCGUCUUGUUUGAGAGAUAAGGUUGGAUGGCAUUCGUUCGGCCCGGAUGUUUGCGGACACAUCCAGAUACGGACAACUGACGUGUCCGUGGACAUUUGUGGGAUUCUCUUUGAUGAACCUUGUUGGAGUUGCCCUUAGUAGCUUAAGGGACAUUUAAAGCACAUGUGUUCAAAGGUGUAUACUAGAAGAAAGUGACUAAAUAAGAUGCGUGUGGGGGUGGUUCUUGGUUCAUAACUUUACUAGUGUUCACUCUAUCUCGGCUCGCAACUACCGGCUAUAAAAGGAGUAUAUCUUUAUCUAGAAGGAAAUAAACCUUAUCCAGCAACAGAGUGAGAGAAAUCGAGCACCGAGAGGAGGGUCACUUGCACUGCACACCUGAGAGGCAGUGUUGUUCGUUCUUGAACAUCUGCCAGAUGUUUCAUGCAGGAUCUGGACCUUUAUUUUGGUGGUUUUACCCUUCCAAUGUGAGCAUGCGAAGCAUCAGGAUGAUAAGCACCUGCAUGAGGAAGAUACUCGGUGCUGGAAACAAUAAUAGCCAAGGUACUGCAAAUAGCAGCUUUUGCUACUACGUCUGCUCAAGUAUUUUCGCUGAAACCGGCUCACGAAGGGCCUGAUUCGUCCAGUAACCACUACAAUUGCGAGCGCCUGCGGGUCGGUACGUCUCAGGGCAAGUUAGUAGGCACGGAUUGCGUCCAGGGUAGACGACUCAGGAGACGACUCAGCCAUUGCUGUCAGUCUCUCUUGUCGAUAGCCAAUAUACUAUAAAUCCCGCGCCAAAUCUCUCCUUGCACUGUAUUUAGAGAAAAAUCGUAAUUAUCACAACAAAAUCAGAGUGGCGCAGCGGAAGCGUGGUGGGCCCAUAACCCACAGGUCCCAGGAUCGAAACCUGGCUCUGAUAUAUUUGAUAAAUUUUUUUCUGCUUUGUUUGAUUCCAAGUUAUACUCUCUGAUAAAUUUGGUUGCCCUUCGCUUUACUUCUCGUUCAGGUUCCCUUCGAUCGGAUUCAAAGAUGGAGGAAUUUGAGAAUUUUCACACCAUAUGUUCUUUCCGAAGUGCAGUGCUGAAGAAUGCUUGGACCAACUAUAUACGAGGACAAGUUAUGAGUACGUUUCAACUGAAUUGCUGCAGGCCAACAGCGCGGAGAAUGAACUGGUUCUGCCUCACCCCUCAAUGCUUUCCAACACUCGGAGAUAUUCCAUGGUGGUUGUUGAAGCCAAGAUGACAGGCUGAUGCUGAACUGCUUCUGUAUAUCUACCUAAGUUUUGUUCUGGUGCAGAGGAUGGCACUGUUCCAUUUUCCAGUGACAAAACUGACUUGUCUCAUUCCCAAGUGCAAAACAGAUGGACAUUGAUCUGCACUGUGCUCAUGACACACUUCUCUCUUAAAGUUCAAAAUAGAACAGAUAUUGCAGGGUCUCAGCAAGGUGCAUCCGACAUAGAGCAUCGCCGGUGCAUACUUUCAGAAAUCAACAGGCAUCAUUCUGCAGUUACAAUUGUAUCAUAAAAACACACUGCCAUCAUGCUCGUAAAUGCAUGAUGUGCCUCGUUUCUUUCUUUUUUCCCCAUUUUCUGUCCAUUGACCGACCCAAAAAAGGUUAGACAUUGUUGAAUUAAAGCCUAAUGCAUCAUUCCCAGCAAGAUAAAGGCGCCUAGCGUAUUGUUGAAUCUGAUCCUAAUUGUUGUUGCUCGACAUUAUCUCAACAGGUUCAGAACUUUGAACGCUGGGACAAGUGUAAACUACAGCCAUGCUAGGCACUGCAGAAGCAUGGAGUAUAAAGUGUCAAAGCAUCUGUUAAGAACAAUUGAAAAUGGAACUUUUGGCAGGCUCAGAUCAACAUAGGAAGCCAUAUUGUAUUACCAUUGCUAAAUUUAAUUAAUUUAAGUAAACCAACUUGUCAGAAGCACUAAUCUCAUGAAAUCCACAAUGCAUUCUGCUCAAUAUGGUCACUGUAGACAAAUAUGAAGUUUCUCAUAAAUAAAUUCAUAAGGUAAAAGCAACAACUAUUAAGUCAAUCUUUUUUUACUCUGAGUUAACAUAAAUCUUUGCAACCUACGGAGUUGCUGAAUUAACACGAUACUUUUGGAGAUAAGGACAUAGUACAGAGCUAUGAAAAUAUUGAGUGCCCCCUACAAGUUGCUGAAUUGCAUUCCAUUUAUCAUUGCAAUCUUCAUGCAUCUCAUAAAGGAGUAUAUCAUCUAGCUUCAGGAAUGUUAAGAAAAGAAAAUGCAAGCAGAAGGCUUACAGUCGUCUAAGGAUUUAAAAAUAUCACGCACUUUUACAUGUAUGUUAUCUCAGAUUUGGAUCAACCUCAGAGACACAUGAUGGCAUUAACAUAUCAGGAUUCAGGAAUCAAAUUAUCAGUUUCAUCACGAAUUAGCAACGACAAACAAGUAUCGAACAGGCAUAUAACAGCCAACAGCGGACAAACAACAUCCACUAAGGCAAAGAACACCGUGACAGGAAUUAGCACCUUACCACACGGAGAGAAAUUUUGGUUCUGCCAUACGCAGUCCCAAUUUUCAUAGCCCAUUCUUGGUUCCCGUCAAUGUGGAUCCAGUGGGCACUUCCCCUCGGCAAGCUGUGGCAUAGUACUCAGCGAGGUGCGGUGCAGCUUCCUUAUGAGGGCAUAUAUACACCUCAAAGAAUACCUUCUCGGUUGCCUUGAAGAUUGGAUAGUACUUGGGGACGCGCUUGAGCAAUCCAUUUGCCAUUAGAAACAUUAUAACGUCGUACCUGGGCCUGAGCCGGCCUUCCAGGCUAAGACAGAGUAUUACCGGCAGACGAGCAAUGUAGGCCGGUUCCAACCCCACCUUAGAGAUAAGGAACUCGGACUUACGCAGGAGCAUGCCCUUUGAUCUCCUCAGCAACGAUGGAUACCUAGACAGAGCAAUGCGCACCUCGGCAUCGGACCACCUGAACGUGUUCUUCAAGUAGUCCAGUUUGGCGGCGAUCUCCUCCUCGCUGAGGAACGCGACGGCCUGCAGCGCUUCCCUAAACAUCCCAGAGCCGCGGGGCACGCCUACAGCUUCGGCGCACGCUGCCAUCGCCCGGACGCGCUCGGGGUUGGUGGUCAGAAGCCUCGGCGCAUUGACGCACAGCGAGGCAAUAUGUCGAACAUCUACCCCGCACUCCCGCAGGAACGCGACGUUGGGCUCGACCACCGUCCCGACGCUCGAGGAGAGAAGGCGGGGGCUGACCUUGAGCACCCGGAGGAGCUUGUCGGAGGAGCCGAAGAGGUGGUGGUAGUAGCGCAGCUUGGCCACCACGGAUUUGGUGCGGAGGCAGUAGUCGGUGAGCGAGGCGAGGCGCGCGAUCUCGGAGUGUGACAGGCCGAGGCUGGUGAGCCCGGCGACGAUGGGGGAGAGGGUACCCUCCACUUUAGCGCAGAGUAAACUGGGGUUCCUUGCCACGGCGGCGGCGACGUCGGCCCUGGAGAAGCCGAGGCCGGCGAGGAAGGCGAGGACGGCGUCGGGUUUGGUGGGGGAGUUGAGGUGGGAGAGUCUCGUGGACGCCUUGAGUGCUCGCGCUCGGGUGAGGCCGCAGGUGGCGACGAGGUAGUCCUGGACGGCGAAGCCGCCGGCGACGGGGUCUGCAAGAACGGGGGGCGCCGCGGUUGAGAGGAGGCGGAGGGAGAAGGAAGGGGGUAUGGUGGAGGCGGAGGGAGAAGAGAGCUGUUGGGUGAGGAUGCUCUUCAGGAGGCGGAGCAUGGCGCAGACGGCGGCGGCGGCGACGAGCGACGAGCGGCGAGCGGAGAAACUUCCGGUGGGAACUGACAAAGGGGAUCGCGUUCCGUAGUGAUUUCUAUUUCGUUCCAGUUUAACAGAAGAAAAGUCCAUUUUACUCAUGGAGCAGAAAAUGGUUGGUUCGCAUGCUUUUUUUUCACAAAUACGCAAAGUUGCGUAUCAUUUUAUUGAUAGAAGAAGAUGAUAGAAGAAGAAGAAGAAGAAGAAAAGAAGAAUGAGUACAGAUAGGAACAAUACAUGCAUGAACGCUAGAAGGCAUCACAUGGUGUCUGGAGCAGAGACAUGGGGUGCUCAGCCCAAACAAAGAAAACAACACGGCGACACACACCUAGCCCUGAGAAGCUACUCGAACCAAAUGAAGACAACCAACACGUCUAACUCCACCAUCGGGGACGCCGCGAGCGAUCAAGACGACGCCUUCAAGAAGGGAAACGACGUCAAAGACACCGUCGUCGUCCGGUCCAAGGACUGGACCUAGGGUCUCCCCUGAUGCUCGAAGAAGGGCAGAGAUGAAGACCAUGACAGUGCCUCCAAGAAGGGAACGGCGCCCACGGGCGUCGCCAAUGCCAGCACCGGCAAGCCGAGCAGGGAUUUCGCUCUGGCCUUUGUCUGAGCAAUCCCAAGCCGCCAGGGUAAUCAUCGGAGGGAAGGAAGUCAAGACAUCGGUCAAAACCGCCAAUGCAGGGGCAUCAGAUGUCACCGAAAGAGCGAGAACAGAUCCGGCAGGAGGAAUAGCAAGGCGUAGAGGUAAGCGGGGUUGGGCGGUUGGGCGGAGGGGAAUACGACGAUGGAGGGGAUGCAACGGUGGCCAGCAACGCGGACGCGGCAAGAUCUGGAGAGAAGCGCACAUCUGGGCCGCCGGAGCCAAAGCCACCGGGACGCCGGCAAGCCCAAGACUAUAUAUCAAUUUUUAUUCUGUUGAGAAUUGUACAGUCGCGUUUGAUAGCAUGCAGCGCACCCAACCAGGCCGCGCAGUGCAAAAAUAGUUCGUUUGGUAGCCUGGCCUGCAUCCAAACAUCUCCAGCCAGGCCUGCUAUGAACGACCGAAUCGGUCGUUUCCUCUAAGCCAGGCUCGCGGCGUGUAGGGAGGGGAACGCGGCGCCGAGCUCAUGCAAGCAGGGAGAUGACACGAGGAGUUGGGUCAACUAUCGUCGAAUCGGUCACCCUAUUUAGUAACCUUCAGNNNNNNNNNNNNNNNNNNNNNNNNNNNNNNNNNNNNNNNNNNNNNNNNNNNNNNNNNNNNNNNNNNNNNNNNNNNNNNNNNNNNNNNNNNNNNNNNNNNNNNNNNNNNNNNNNNNNNNNNNNNNNNNNNNNNNNNNNNNNNNNNNNNNNNNNNNNNNNNNNNNNNNNNNNNNNNNNNNNNNNNNNNNNNNNNNNNNNNNNNNNNNNNNNNNNNNNNNNNNNNNNNNNNNNNNNNNNNNNNNNNNNNNNNNNNNNNNNNNNNNNNNNNNNNNNNNNNNNNNNNNNNNNNNNNNNNNNNNNNNNNNNNNNNNNNNNNNNNNNNNNNNNNNNNNNNNNNNNNNNNNNNNNNNNNNNNNNNNNNNNNNNNNNNNNNNNNNNNNNNNNNNNNNNNNNNNNNNNNNNNNNNNGUAAGCGUCGAGCCUUUUCCGGUCGGCACAUGCAGGCCAUCAGACGUUGAAUUUCAUUUUGGCAUGUGUUGAUUUGUCGAAUUGUGGUUCACUUUGCUUUGUUGCAUUGUUGAUUUGGUGAUGAAUUUGUGAUAUAUGAUUGACAUGCAUGGAUUCACAUAAAGUUGAGGAUUCUGAUGUGAGGAGUGUGGUUGUUCGGUAGGACUUUUGAGGGGCCUUCGACGCUGUCUGGAGUCUUGCGCGAGCAUGUCUGCAGAUGUUUAGGGUGCGGAUUUGCGUAGUCCGGCUGUAGAUGCUCUUACAAACAGGGUUUGGUAGCACAUAUAUUUUUUUCUGUACCGCGAUGAAAUCAAGCAAUACUAAUAAGUUUUUAUUUACAUACUUAUAACUCUUUAACAAUAUACAAUAGGAUAUUCUCCUACUUUUCUCACAUAAAAACAAGAGUUUUAUUUCUCUGUUGUUCCACUUUGCAAUCGUUGCUUUGUCCUUCUUUGUUGCAAUAUUCAGUUUUUGGUUGCUUCAACCGUAGAUGGGCACCACAAAGCGUCAAAAGUUCUUGAACAAUUACAUCACCUGUUGUUGGAAUAAAUGGCCACAACAAUUGACAUGUGAAGUUGUAUGAAGGGGUGAUGUCUGGGCCACACACCAUGCCCAUUCGCUGAUCUUCUAUAAAUAACCACUACUACCUCCGUUCCAAAAUACAUGACGUUUUGGUAUGCUAGUUUACCUACUAAAAUGUCAUAUAUUUUGGAAUUAUCUUGCUUGUAUGGAAGAAUCACGUUUAGUUGCUAAGGAGAGAAAGCAUGACCAAGUGUGUGAGGAGGGCAACAAUGAUGAGCAUGAAGAGUGUCAAAAGUCUUUCCCGGGGAAUGAGAUGGGUUGGGAAUUUGAUUGAAACUUUGACAAACCUAGCAUCUUUGGAGUCCUCUUCUUCCAAAGUUACUGUGAUUACUCACUAGAGUGGUAUGCUGGAACUGAGCAAGCCACAGGGUCAUCUUGGGCAUUACUUCCUCAAGAUGCUUACUGCGAUUGUUCAUCUCACUUCCACCAGUUUGUUCCACUCUAUCCUCUAUGGCUUCUAGUGUGCACGACUGUGGUGGGCAGAUGGAGCCCUACCUAUUGCUAGUCAAGCUGUGUUUGUCAACUGUUGUAACUGUCAGCAAUUACUCUUUUGUUAGGGGAAAAACAAUCCAUACCACCCACUGAAUGUUGACAUUGUUUCAGUUUUCACUGCGGCGGGUCGGCGAGAGGGCAAAAAUUGCUGACAUAUUGUGAACAGGACAGAGCCAAAACCUGUUACGAUCAGAAUUUAUUCACAUUCAUGUCAUAGAUGUCCUAAGAAUUAGGUGAUUUGUCUGUUAAUCCAAUCCCACCGUAACAAAAAAUUUGUUUUUCAGAGCUGCUUAUCAUCCAGAUCAACCUGCAUAGAGAGUAGGAGGGGGCGAGAGCGGCCACGACAGUCACGGGCGUGACCCAGAUGGCGACCGUCGACUGAUUCAUCAUGUUGGCCGGACGCCGCACGUACAUUAAAUUUCAUUUGGCAUGUUUGAAUUGUGUUUCAUUUUGUUUUGAGGAUCAAAGCGAUCAACGUUGUCAUACAACAAGCUUACAAUCACAGAACAUAAUAUCGCUAAGCUCAGGCAGGACAACCGCCAGAAAGAAGAAAACGCCUUGACUUGUUGCCAUGGCAGCGAGCCUGUGUACCCACAUGUUCUGAUCCCUUCUCCCGCAACCAAACUGAAUGGACCUGAACGAGCGUAGUGAAGCAAGAAUAUCAGCAAUGAUUGCAAACAGGCUAAUUGGGUGUGUUCUGAUCCAACGCCUUAACCAAGGAUAGGCAUUCCAGUUCCACCUGCACAACACCGUUAAAGUAUUUCGAAAGCUGUUGUAGGCCCGCCAAAACUAUCAAACCCUUCGCUUCUUCCACAAAAGAUCAGGGACCGACGCGAUGCCCCAUCGAGAAGAAGGGUCAGCAACUGGCGUCCCUGGCCAUUGCACCAUCGGCACUCAUUCCUGAGGUUGCAUCAGACGCGGCGUCUGACUUCAAUUUAACACUGCCGCCAGGUGGGAGAUUCCAGCCUGCAGCGGCAAGCGGGCAAGUGGACAAGCGACGAUCCCCAAAUAGAUUACUGCAGCAGCUACUUUUCUCGUUUUUCGUUCGUCCCCCGGGCAUUGCUGAUUUCCUCCGUAUACCUGACCAAGAACGACACUGAACUCGAGAUUGAUUCGUUGCCAUCGCUGUGUACUAUGUUGUCUCGAAGAAACCAUGCCCUCCAUAUGAGGAGCAGAAUUUUUGCAAUCGUUUCUUCAUCACAACUGCUGAGGAGCACUUGCAACCAAUCACUCCCAGUGUGCCAAAAGGCCUUCUCUUUCGGAAUGUUCCAGUGCACUCACAUAGCUUGUCGGAGGGCCUUGCUUUUUGUACAUGAGACCACCGCAUGGUACUCAUUUUCUUCAGCACUUUCACAAAUGUCACAAAUAUGAAUUGUGGUUCAUUUUUCUUUGUUGCAUUGUUGUAUAGAUGAAUUUGUGUUAUAUGAUUGAAGUGCAUGGAUUUGCAUGAAUUUGAGGGUUUUGACCUGAGGAGUGUGGUUAUUCGGUAAGCCUUUUGAGGGGUCGUCCUACACUGUCCAGAGUUGUGCGCGGGCGCGUCUGUGGAUGUUUAGGGGGCGGAUUUAUGUAGUCCGGUUGUAGAUGCUCUUACAAACAGGGUUGGGUAGCACAUAUAUUUUAUUUCUGUACCGCGAUGGAAAUCAAGCAAUACUAGUAAGUUUUUCUUUACAUACAAUUUUUUAAUAGUAUACAAUAGGAUAUUCUCCUACUUCCCCAUAAAAAACAAGAGUUUUAUUUCUCUGUUGUUCCAAUUCGCAAUCGUUGAUUUGUCCUUGUUUAUUGCAAUAGUAUUUACUUUUGGGUUGCUUAAACCAUAGAUGGGCACCACAAAGCGUCAACAGUUCUUCAACAAUUGCAUAACCUGCUGUCGAAACAAAUGUCACAAGGGGUGGAAAUAAAUGGCCACAACAACUGUCAUGUUAAGUUUGGUGAAAAAAAUGAUGUCUGGGCCACACAUCAUGUUCAUUUGCGGUCCUUCUAUAAAAUGUUCAUUUGCGGUCCUUCUAUAAAUAACUACUAUCUUACUUGUGCAGCAGAAUAACAUUUAGUUGCUAGAGGGAGAAACCAUGACCAAGUGGGUGAGGAAGGCAACAAUGAUGAGUAUGAUGAGUGUCACCGGUCAAUUCCCCAUGUAAUGAGAUGCAUUCGGAAUUUGAUUGGAACUCUGAUGAGCAUGAUGAGUGGUACGAUUGGAACUUAGGGCUAGUUCUUUUGAGCUAUGCUGUGGAAAUAAACUCUAGAUAAGCUCCUGUGGAAAUAAGAUCCAGAUAAUAAGCUAGCCAGUUCUUUUCAAUGCCUGUUUUUUCAGCUUAUUUGUUGUAUGGCCAGUAAAAGGUCUGUAAUGCCCUUGGACUAUAUGGUUCCUGAUUAAAUGAUAUCGUGUUAUUUUUAUCAUUUUGCUGCUCGAAUGAACAUAAAUUCGACUUCAAAACACCACAAUAUGUUACAAUCAAACAUAAUAAAGAUCAUUGAAGAUAAUAUGCUUGCAACAACGCAAAAGUCAAGUUCAUCAUUGAAGAUAAUAUGUCUCGCCGGACUGGGUCGCUCCUGGAGUGGGGCGCCGACGACACGAGCUGCUGCAGGCCACCGGGGAAGGUAGGGGUCGUGCCCGAGGUUGUAGAAGCGACGAAAGAUGGGCUCCUACCCUCCGGUCAUGCCGCCGAAGCUAGCCGCGACGCCGAGCAGAUGAGCCGGGGACCGGUGGCGGCGGCAACAGGAACCCUAGCCUGUGCGGGAGCGAGUCGGUGGAUCAGGGCGGUUUUUUUUUUCCUUCACAAAAGAAAUGGCCCUUACUUGCGUCAGGAAUGUUGGAAGAAUGUACUCCUACCUCUCUAUCCUCUUUGCUUUUGCGACUUGGAGGUGCCGUCAACUGUUGCAACUUUCAGCAUUACUCUCUUGUGGGGCAAAAAAGAAAAUCCAAAUCAGCCACUGAAUGUUGUUGAUACUGAUUCGGUUUUCAACAAUGGGAUAGGGCGAAAACUGUUGACAUAAUGUGAACAGGACAGAGCAAAAACCUGUUACGAUCAGAAUUUAUUCAUAUUCAACAAAUACAAACAUACAACUCAACUUUUCUUCCCGCAUGUUUACAGUCAAAAGUCAAUCAAUGUACAGCCAUCCCACCAAAAUACAGAAGUCGAUAUACAGCCACAAGAAAAAGACCAAACGUCCACUGUUAUUUCAGUUCACGGCACAGGCAACCCAGCGAAUGGCCGUC